AAGAGUUUGAUCCUGGCUCAGAUUGAACGCUGGCGGCAGGCCUAACACAUGCAAGUCGAGCGGAUGAAGGGAGCUUGCUCCUGGAUUCAGCGGCGGACGGGUGAGUAAUGCCUAGGAAUCUGCCUGGUAGUGGGGGAUAACGUCCGGAAACGGGCGCUAAUACCGCAUACGUCCUGAGGGAGAAAGUGGGGGAUCUUCGGACCUCACGCUAUCAGAUGAGCCUAGGUCGGAUUAGCUAGUUGGUGGGGUAAAGGCCUACCAAGGCGACGAUCCGUAACUGGUCUGAGAGGAUGAUCAGUCACACUGGAACUGAGACACGGUCCAGACUCCUACGGGAGGCAGCAGUGGGGAAUAUUGGACAAUGGGCGAAAGCCUGAUCCAGCCAUGCCGCGUGUGUGAAGAAGGUCUUCGGAUUGUAAAGCACUUUAAGUUGGGAGGAAGGGCAGUAAGUUAAUACCUUGCUGUUUUGACGUUACCAACAGAAUAAGCACCGGCUAACUUCGUGCCAGCAGCCGCGGUAAUACGAAGGGUGCAAGCGUUAAUCGGAAUUACUGGGCGUAAAGCGCGCGUAGGUGGUUCAGCAAGUUGGAUGUGAAAUCCCCGGGCUCAACCUGGGAACUGCAUCCAAAACUACUGAGCUAGAGUACGGUAGAGGGUGGUGGAAUUUCCUGUGUAGCGGUGAAAUGCGUAGAUAUAGGAAGGAACACCAGUGGCGAAGGCGACCACCUGGACUGAUACUGACACUGAGGUGCGAAAGCGUGGGGAGCAAACAGGAUUAGAUACCCUGGUAGUCCACGCCGUAAACGAUGUCGACUAGCCGUUGGGAUCCUUGAGAUCUUAGUGGCGCAGCUAACGCGAUAAGUCGACCGCC
rnacentral:rRNA from 1 species